UGUGUGUUCACUAGUCUGCUCUUGCAAGGCUGGCUGAAGAGACAUUAAGGACUAUUUUUCAGGGAUUCGGUAUCUAAAGCUCUCUGAAAUAUGACCCCACAAAGAAAGAUAAAAUAAAUCUCCCAAAUCUGCAGUCAGUUUUGGAAAAUUGUUGAUGUGUAUUUUGUCAGCCCCCUGAAUCCAGAGGCGAUAAAUGAAGGCGAGCUUGCACACAGCCUGGAUCAGUCUCCAGCUGCUCCUCAGCAUGCAUACUUGCAUGCAAGGGAGAAAGCUAUCCAGCUUGAGACUUCUGAUUAUCUGAAUAAUCUCGGCUCAGAUAGACGAAAAAAGUCUUUCCUAAGGUUGCCAGCUGCAUUUUUAAAGGGCCCACCUGCUGACCCUGCUGUGUCAUGGAGCUGCAAAGGAUUUCAAGCUCAGGCGUCAUGUAGUCACGCUGCUUUUGGAUCCAGACCUUAUUCACCGUGCCAGCUGUGUCUUCCACAAUGCAGACGUCUUCUGCUCAGCUGGGACCUAGCGUGGUCAGCCAGAAAAUGAAGGAUGCGCACUUAAAUUAAAUCUUUCCAAAGUGGCUGGCUGGGUGCUCUCGUCUUGGAAAGCAUCCUGGAAGAAAAAAGUGCAUGUUAGACAGGAUGAUGAAGAGGAUGAACAUCUCUGCAGGUUUUUUAAAAGACCAACCUUUCCAUAUCAUCAAAGGAAGCACAGACAUGUUUAUGAAAACAUGAGGAAGAUGGAGGCUGGUGUCAUAGGGUGAUCAAAGGCUUCUGUCACUACUUCUGCCCACUGUUCAUCUGGAUUAACCUCUCUCUCACACCAGUCUAAAAAGACUAAUGCCCUAAUAAUCUGAAAUAAUAUCAACAACUCAAAGUAAAUAAAUAUCAAUUCUCCAUAUUUUCUAUGCCUGGAAAACUGAUUGGAUUUUAUGGAUAUCUGAUGGACAUGGAUGUACGCUUUCUUUAUAUCAAAAACAUUUCUAUAAUAAAAUAAAUAUCACACCAAUAAAGUUCAAAAGAAGACACACACAAAAA